AUGGUAACAAUUACAUCAGGUGAGAGACAUGAGGGACUAAUCAAGCACACACACCCAGGCAGAGUGAUCACUGGAAAAACAGCCACUCCAGCUGCACCAACUGUGCUUCCUCUGGGGCAAUGUGGUUCUGGGACUGGAGACAUGGUCACCCUUGGCUGUAUUGCCACCGACUUCUCACCCUCCUCACUGACCUUCACAUGGAGCAAAAAUGGGACUGCCUUGACGGACUUCAUUCAGUGCCCUCCAGUACAGUACGACAACAUUUACACGAGAGUAAGUCUAAUCAAAGUGAGGAAACGGGACUGGGACGCUAGUGAGACUUUCCAAUGUGCCGUGCCACAUGCAGGAGGAAAUGGACAGGCUACUAUCACAAAACCAAGACUGCGGGUUGUCCCUCCAAACAUCACAUUACACCCUGUGUGGGAAGGUGAAUUUGGGGCCUCACCAGUCAGACUCAUCUGCACACUAAGUGGCUUCUUUCCAGACAAAGUGAGUGUGACGUGGCAACGGGACAACCAACCUCUAAACAUUAUGCAAACCCAAAGGAAGCUGCAGAGUGUGGAGGGAGUGGAGAAAACCUUCAGUCUAAGCAGUGAGAUUGAGCCAAAUAUGAAACAGUGGGCAGGUGGCUCAAGUUUUACAUGCAGGUCCACUCACAAUCACAGUGAAUUUCGAAAAACAAUAAGUAUUUGUCAAACACAGACAAGCGCCCCUCCUUCAGUUCAUGUGGAGGUUCCCAGCUUCAAGACAGUAAUGGAGUCAACAUCUGAUGUGAAGGCAACAUGUUCAGUCCGCACAGUGUUUGAAGCAAAGGUGACCUGGCUGAUGGAUGGGCAACCCCCAUCCAGUCACCAAGUGAACCAGGUCACACAUACAACUCAUUUAAUAAGCACUCUGACGGUUUCCUCGAGUCAGUGGAAACAACUGAAGCUUCUGAAAUGUAAAGUUGAACAUCGCUGCUUCUCAUCCACUGAGGAGACAAUAAAUGUUGCAGCGCCUGCAGUUACAGCUCCAUCAGUGGAGAUCAGGAGAUCUCUCCCAGAUUUGCUGAAGGGAAACAGUGCUGUGCUGGAGUGUGACGUCACACAACUCUCCUCCAGUGACCUCUACAUCACCUUUCAGGCCAACAGUGUUGACAUCUCUGACAAACAGUAUGUUGAUCUUCCUGAAGCCCCAGGCCUCCAUUCAGUCAGUAGACGCUUCACUGUCCCUCCAAACUACUGGAAGAGAGACACAAGUUUCACCUGCAAAGUGAAUCAAGGUUUCUCCAGCAGCUUCAAGUCAAACCCCACUGCAGACCUGAACAAAAACCUCAGUGCCUGA